UUUAAAGCAUAGAACAUAAUAUGUGGAAAUUGACGGUUUCUGUUCCCCUCCACUCGAGGUCACCUCAAGUGAUCCGCAGGGGAGUGUGCUGGGACCUCAAUUGUUUUUGGUCAAUAUAAAUGAUUGGGCCUCCUUUACUGAUGAAAACAUCAAAAUUAACCUUUUGCUGAUGAUUCCAUGAUGUUUAAAGAAAUACGUUCUGUCUCAGAUCAAAGCCUGCUGAAUACUGCUUUAAAUGAUGUUUUGUCUUUAAAACAGUAUUUAUGAGCAUCACCAGGAAGAAGACACCUCUUACGUUUAACUACACCCUCAACGCUACACCUGUGACUCAGCUCACAAAAUACAAAUAUUUAGGCAUAAUCAUUAACAACCAGCUCACUUGGAGUGAUCACAUUUGCUUUAUAACUUCAUCUGCUAUGAACAAACUGGGGUUUUUAAGACACAAGUUAAGGGGAGCACCUCCCAGUGUGAAGAAAUUAGCUUAUGAAUCUAUUGUUAGGCCAAAACUUGAGUAUGCCACCAUGGUGUGGGAUCCCCACACGA
rnacentral:lncRNA from 1 species